rnacentral:rRNA from 1 species
UACAGAGGGGGCAAGCGUUGUUCGGAAUUACUGGGCGUAAAGGGCGCGUAGGCGGCCUGCUAAGUCGAACGUGAAAUCCCUGGGCUCAACCCAGGAACUGCGUCCGAUACUGGUUGGCUUGAAUCCGGGAGAGGGAUGUGGAAUUCCAGGUGUAGCGGUGAAAUGCGUAGAUAUCUGGAGGAACACCGGUGGCGAAGGCGACAUCCUGGACCGCAUUGACGCUGAGGCGCGAAAGCCAGGGGAGGCAA